rnacentral:rRNA from 1 species
CAGUAGCCACGGGAAUACGUAGGUGGCAAGCGUUGUCCGGAAUUAUUGGGCGUAAAGGGCUCGCAGGCGGUUUCUUAAGUCUGAUGUGAAAGCCCCCGGCUCAACCGGGGAGGGUCAUUGGAAACUGGGAAACUUGAGUGCAGAAGAGGAGAGUGGAAUUCCACGUGUAGCGGUGAAAUGCGUAGAGAUGUGGAGGAACACCAGUGGCGAAGGCGACUCUCUGGUCUGUAACUGACGCUGAGGAGCGAAAGCGUGGGGUGCGAACAGGAUUAGAUACCCGCGUAGUCCCUGUCUCUUAUAC